rnacentral:rRNA from 1 species
CCCUUAGAUGUCCUGGGCCGCACGCGCGCUACACUGACAUGUUCAACAAGUUUCUCCUAGUUCGACAGGACUGGGAAAUCUUUGAACGCAUGUCGUGAUAGGGAUAGAUCCUUGCAAUUAUUGAUCUUGAACGAGGAAUUCCUAGUAAACGCGAGUCAUCAGCUCGCAUUGAUUACGUCCCUGCCCUUUGUACACACCGCCCGUCGCACCUACCGAUUGAAUGUUUCGGUGAAGAUUCCGGAUAGGACUGAUUUGAUUUAUUUCAUUUCUGACCUAAAAGCUAUCUAAACCUCAACAUUUAGAGGAAGGUGAAGUCGUAACA